CACGUAGGGCGCAAGCGUUGUCCGGAAUUAUUGGGCGUAAAGAGCUCGUAGGCGGUCUGUUGCGUCUGCUGUGAAAACUCGGGGCUUAACCCCGAGCCUGCAGUGGAUACGGGCAGACUAGAGGUAGGUAGGGGAGAAUGGAAUUCCCGGUGUAGCGGUGAAAUGCGCAGAUAUCGGGAGGAACACCGGUGGCGAAGGCGGUCUCUGGGCCUUACCUGACGCUGAGUG
rnacentral:rRNA from 1 species